rnacentral:tRNA from 1 species
UUGACAAAAUUUAAAGACAAGUCUUCUAAAUUUGUUUUAGGCUUUUAGCCUUUUUGUUUUU